UCGCCGGUCCGCGGUCAUAGGCUCAGGAGGGCCGCCGAGCGGGAAGGCGAGUCGGCCUCCCAGGCGAUGCCCUGGCUCAACCCAGCCCCAGGGCGUAGGCCCUUUGCAAACGCAACCGUGACCCAACGUGGCGGCCGGGGCGGGCCUUCCCCGCGGCUGGCAGCAGGCCGGUCAGGCGCUGCCCCACCCACUGCUGAGCCCCAAGGUCAGGCUGAGAAGACACGUCCCCUCUUCCUGCUUCCGGUGGUGUCCACUGACCAAAGACCAAAACCACUAUGGCAGGAGGCUGUGGGUGCCAGUUGUGAGCUCACGUGGCAAUAAGGGACCGGGCAGCUCCUUGCCAGAGGCAGCUAUCACAGCGUCUGAGCAGGCGAAGGAGCCCUGGAUGGUGAGGAAGAGUGUGAGACUGCAUGCUCCUGUGACCAAACCCUAAAACAACAGCACAACCCACAAGAUCCAGCAGGGCUACAAAGAUCCCGGGGACUGCUGCCUUCGGCAUUUCCAGAGAGGCUUUGUACAAUCUCCAUGAGUUGUAAGCAAAGAUCUCAGGAUGCUGGUUUUAACU